GUGGAGCCCGCUGGCAUGUGAAGAACCGUCUUGAGCCCUUCUGAUGCAGGUGGACUGGAGGGCAGCGGGUGCAAACUGGGAAACAGGCACUGAUUUACAAGGCCACGCACACACGAGGGGCUGCACUAGCAUUGCCCCGGGCAUGCAAGUAGGUCGGAGUCUGCUUAAACUGCAGUAAAAAUGGAACAGCUUUAUCAUCUACUACAGGAGGCUUUGCCCACUGGCACUCCCUGCCUUCAGCUCUUCUGUUACAACAGCCAGCAUCCCAGGCUGUGUGUGUGCUGCCACCUACACAUCUCCCUAUUUCUAAGCCAUUGCCUGCCUUCGCAGCAGCCUUCUUCUCACAGAAACUCCCCUUAAAAGAUGCAAUCAGCAGCAUUUGGCCCCAGUUCCAAAAGGCAACAGCCUCCUGCCCAAGAGUGCCAGGGGUGCUUGGCAAGGCAACAGAAGGACGGUCUGAGAGCAGACAGGACAUGCAGCCCCAAUGCCGUUCGCCCAAGCUGUGGGCACUGUCAAUUUAUGGCGGGCAGGGCUGUAUUUUUCAAAGCAAGAGCAGUGCUGUAGUAAAUAUUUCUCUAUAUACUAAUGGAAGGAUUCUUGUUCUACAUGGAGGCAACACUUAGACUAAGGCUCUACAUACAAGUUGACGAGGGUUCAGGUCAGUGUGAAUUUAGGAGAACGGCCAUUCUGGAACAAGCCCCUGCACGCGCAUUUAUUCGGGAAUGGGAGCACCUCUUCAGCAGUGGAUUGGCAAAACCAUAGAAAGGCAAUCCAUUGCAGAGUAAGUGCUGGCAUGAGCAGCGCUCUGGAAAAUCUGUGCAGACAGUCCUUUGAAAGGCUUGUCCUUGCCCCGCUGGAAACCAAGAUACAUACGGCUUCCUGGUGUUUCUGCAGCGGUGCCGGACCUGCACUGAUACCGCCCUGCUGUAAAGCUGUACUGAAGAGGAACUGACCUGCGCCCCCGCCUUAGCGUUGGGUGCAGCUGCAGCUCUUCCAACGGGGCAUCGCUCCCAGCCUUCCUGUUCCCCUAAGCAGAGAAGCCACCGCUCACCCAGGCAUCAGACCCUCACCCAGGGGAUUCUCUUUGCCAACAUUGCUGCGAAUCUUUUCCACUGCAGCCUAGAACUGACGGAUAUGUCAGAGCCCGGUCAGGAAGCCCCUGAAGAGCACGAGACUGUUCUACCGUCUCCUCCUCACCUGGUGCCCACAGGCUGCACCAAGCAGUUGUUGCAGCAAAUCUAGUGCUAGGGUGGAUAGAAAGCACCACCACAUGAAAACGGUGAACUGGAGUUUCCAGAUUUUUUUUCAACACAGAGGCAGGGAUGUGUUACAUGUUACAUACACACAAGCUUGCUGCAUUUGCGGUCCGCAUGGGUUUCCAAAAGGGUAGGCUAUAAACACUCCUCCCCUCCCCAACCUUUUAUAAGCAGCACAAUGUCUGCAUCAGUCUUUGAUAGAGACAGGUGGCUUUUUAUAGUGCAGAAAUAAAGCAACUUUCAUCCUUUUAACUAGGGGGAGGGAUCCCAGCACAUCCAGCUAAACCAUCCAGCCUCCACUCCCAUCGACACCCCUCAAGUGCAACGUGCACAGGAGGAAAACGCUCUUGCUACUUUGGUAACCUGACUCCCUUCUCCCUCCCUGAACAAAGCUCCUCGUCCAGGUAUUGGGCUGCUACGCUGACUACACAACACUGCUGCACUCCCUUCUAUGCACAAGUGCCUAACGCAGGGGCAGGACUUGGUUCUUAGCAGUGGUCUGAACAAAACCCAGUACUGAAAAGGAAAAAGCACCAGGUGACACCCGUCCCCAAACCCACCUGGCCCUCAGGAGGCACACACAUGGCGUUUACAGUGACAGCAGCCGACAGGAAAGCCAGCGGCAUUAAUAACGUAAUGCUGGAGUGGAACGAGGAGCUGUGGAAGCCGACGGCUGCUCAGAGACCUGCUAAUGCCAACAUCCGGAUAUAGUUUAUUGUCCUCUCAUCGAGUGCAUUCAUAGAGAACAUGGACUCUAAACAAGUUACCGAGGAGCAUGGGAGGACCGGCCAGCCGCUACACUAAGCAUGUGCUAUGGAGGUUAGUGUUAGCAUUAACCAAUGGAACAAACUGGGGAUGAAGGGGGUUGGGAAGGGGACCCAGUGAAACCUCAGCCCAGCCAGCAAUCCAGAGGAUAUCACCAUACAUUUAAAUAAAUAAUUCUAGGGGUACUGUGCACCUCCUCAGUGCAUUUUGCCCAAAGAUGGAUAAAAAGCAAGAGGUUGUGUCUGGCUGACAACGGAUGGUCCCUUCGCUUGGCCGUGGGAGAAAGGAGGAAGCCGCAGCUUCAGCUCUUACAGAGAGGACGCAGCCUUGUAAACCUUGAGAGUACAAGCAAGCGCAGGCGAGCCAGAGCAUGCGAGCGUGCCUGCCCCCACCCCGGGAACUUGCUUUGAGAGGAGCAAGGGUUAUUAAACCAGACCCUAAAAGAACAACUGUCUAGUACAGGCACAGCCAGCAAGGGGCUGCUUGGUUCUAAAUCCAUGCAGGACCAACUACAGCUGAGCCACGAAUGCUCCAGCCGGGCAGCCGCUGUCCGGACCCCACGCAUCAGGCUACAGAUUCACGCGCCGCUCCUGCUAUGCUAUUCCUUAUAAAAAAUAAAAAUAAAAACAACUUAAAAAAUCCCCCAAAAUGAACAGGCCAGUGCGGGAUGCUUCCUGCUGACCCAGAGCCGGGACCUAAAGGGGCUCUGCUAUGGAUUCCCAGGGCUCAGAUGCUCCCGGGUGGGGUGUAGGGCUCCCCAGCUAGCAUCUGACUGGGUGGUCAGCAGCUGUCAGCUCCCUUUUGGCGAGUUCACUAAGCUGUUCCCUUUCUCUAGAGCAAGGGCUGUGGCCACAAUAUCAAAAUUAGAGAUGAGAAA